rnacentral:misc_RNA from 1 species
CUGAAUAUACAAUAAAAAUAUUAACAAGAGGAUCUUAUUCAGUAGGCCUAAAAGUUGAGUGUUUAUUUACAAUUAUAAUCUUAGCAGAAAAUAAAGAUGAGAUGACAAACUUGUGAAAAUCACCUUCCAUGUUAUGUUAGCUGUACAAAAAUUCUCUCCUUUUUGCUGUCUUACGCUGCGGCAAAGAAAAAAAAAAGGCCUUCCAUGUUUCUAGUUAAAGUGCCUUGUGAGCAGAAGAGGAUGCGAGUCCUAUGCGUCUUUCUCCAGUGGCAAUGAGCUUCUCGACACGAGAAACUAUAUGUUUACCAAAAGUGUAACGCUUCAGCGCAUUUAAGUGAACUUUGAUACGAGAAAGAAUUAACUCAAGAUUCCGAUCAUCACAGGUCUCAAGAACUUUUUGCACAACAUAAUUUCCAAAUGGAUCUUUCAUCAUGGCCUGCAAAGGCUCAUUUUCAUCAGUGGAGCCAAGCAUCUCAUUCACCAAAAUUUGAUGCUCCUCAUGGCCACCAAAAAUUAGGCACUUCUCCACAACAUUAGAAGCAAAUUUCUGCUGACUCAUCUUUACAAUUUGUCCUGCAAGCUUGCUAAUAAUAGCAGAUCGUUCGUGUGGUUUGCCAUGUUCAAGGACAUGCUGAAUAACAUAAUUCCCAUAUUGAUCUUGUGCCAGAAUGCAAACAGAUAGCAUAAUUUCCUCCAUAAUAAUUUCCUGUGUAUUCAUGUUCUUACAGUGUUCCAGGACCCUCUGAAUAACGCGACAGCCAUAAGGAUGGGUGGAAAGUGCCACAACUUGCCCAUAGAAAGCUGAGAUAAUGAACUGAAUUUGAUCUUCAGGUACACACUCUAUGCACUUCUGAAUAACAUGAUUACCGUUCUGAUCACGAACGCAUUUCAUGACCGAACCAUCAAGCUCUGCCACCAUCUGAGUUUGCUGAUCCACAUCAACUACCUCCAAGGCCUUCUGAAUCAC